rnacentral:rRNA from 1 species
UACGGGAAGGGCAAGCGUACUUCAUCUUGACUGGGCGUAAAGGGUGCGUAGACGGAAUUACAAUGGCUAUUUGUAAGACCCUAUUAAACAUAGGGAUAAAAUAGAAACAGUAAUUCUAGAGUUUAGUUAGGGAUAGUGGAAUUUCUAGAGGAGCAAUGAAAUGCAGAUACUGGAAGGAACAUCUAUAGCGGAGGCAGCUAUCUAGGCAUAACUGACGUUGAGGCACGAAAGCAUGGGGGAUCAAACAGG